rnacentral:rRNA from 1 species
UGAGGAAUAUUGGACAAUGGAUGGAAAUCUGAUCCAGCCAUGCCGCGUGCAGGAAGACGGCCCUAUGGGUUGUAAACUGCUUUUGUAUGGGAGCAAUAAGGACUACGUGUAGUUUGAUGAGAGUACCAUACGAAUAAGCAUCGGCUAACUCCGUGCCAGCAGCCGCGGUAAUACGGAGGAUGCGAGCGUUAUCCGGAUUUAUUGGGUUUAAAGGGUGCGUAGGCGGCGAUAUAAGUCAGUGGUGAAAUAUUUCGGCUUAACCGAGAGACUGCCAUUGAUACUGUGUUGCUAGAAUAUGGUUGCUGUGAGUGGAAUGUGUGGUGUUGCGGUGAAAUGCUUAGAUAUCACACAGAAUAUCGAUUGCGAAGGCAGCUCACAAAGCCAUUAUUGACGCUGAGGCACGAAAGUGUGGGGAUCAAACA